rnacentral:hammerhead_ribozyme from 1 species
GUCUCGUUGAAGAGUCCCAUACAAAGGACGAAACGACCGUCCAGUAC